rnacentral:rRNA from 1 species
UAGGGAAUCUUCCACAAUGGACGCAAGUCUGAUGGAGCAACGCCGCGUGAGUGAAGAAGGUUUUCGGACCGUAAAGCUCUGUUGUUGGUGAAGAAGGAUAGAGGUAGUAACUGGCCUUUAUUUGACGGUAAUCAACCAGAAAGUCACGGCUAACUACGUGCCAGCAGCCGCGGUAAAUACGUAGGUGGCAAGCGUUGUCCGGAUUUAUUGGGCGUAAAAGCGAGCGCAGGCGGAAGAAUAAGUCUGAUG